rnacentral:rRNA from 1 species
CAGCAGCCGCGGGAAUACAGAGGGUGCAAGCGUUAAUCGGAUUUACUGGGCGUAAAGCGUGCGUAGGCGGCUUCUUAAGUCGGAUGUGAAAUCCCUGAGCUUAACUUAGGAAUUGCAUUCGAUACUGGGAAGCUAGAGUAUGGGAGAGGAUGGUAGAAUUCCAGGUGUAGCGGUGAAAUGCGUAGAGAUCUGGAGGAAUACCGAUGGCGAAGGCAGCCAUCUGGCCUAAUACUGACGCUGAGGUACGAAAGCAUGGGGAGCAAACAGGAUUAGAUACCCGCGUAGUCCCUGUCUCUUAUAC